GAUGAACGCUAGCGGGAGGCCUAACACAUGCAAGCCGAGCGGUAUUUGUUCUUCGGAACAGAGAGAGCGGCGUACGGGUGCGUAACACGUGUGCAACCUACCUUUAUCAGGGGAAUAGCCUUUCGAAAGGAAGAUUAAUACUCCAUAAUAUAUUGAAUGGCAUCAUUCGAUAUUGAAAACUCCGGUGGAUAAAGAUGGGCACGCGCAAGAUUAGAUAGUUGGUGAGGUAACGGCUCACCAAGUCAAUGAUCUUUAGGGGUCCUGAGAGGGAGAUCCCCCACACUGGUACUGAGACACGGACCAGACUCCUACGGGAGGCAGCAGUGAGGAAUAUUGGACAAUGGGUGAAAGCCUGAUCCAGCCAUCCCGCGUGAAGGAUGACGGUCCUAUGGAUUGUAAACUUCUUUUGAUAGGGAUAAACCUAGAUACGUGUAUCUAGCUGAAGGUACUAUACGAAUAAGCACCGGCUAACUCCGUGCCAGCAGCCGGGUAAAACG
rnacentral:rRNA from 1 species